rnacentral:ncRNA from 1 species
GGUCAAGUUAAUAAGGGCAUAGGGAGAAUGCCUAGGCACUGAGAGCUGAAGAAGGACGCGACAAGCUGCGAAAAGCUGCGUGUAGGUGCAAAUGACCGUUUGAUACGCAGAUAUCCGAAUGGGGAAACCCGGCAGGGAGAAGCCCUGUCACCCAUAGAUGAAUAAAAUAGUCUAUGAGGAAGGAACCCGGGGAACUGAAACAUCUAAGUACCUGGAGGAAGAGAAAGAAAACUCGAUUUCCCGAGUAGCGGCGAGCGAAAGGGAAACAGCCCAAACCUAGUUUACUAGGGGUUCGGAAUAUACACAAAAAGGUAUUAAAUCAUAGUCGAAUGAGCUGGGAAGUUCAACCGUAGAGAGUAAAAGUCUCGUAGACGAAAUGAGAAGAUAUCAAGUAUAUAUCCAGAGUACCACGGGACACGUGAAACCCUGUGGGAACAAGGGGGGACCACCCCCCAAGGCUAAAUACUACUCAGUGACCGAUAGCGCAUAGUACCGUGAGGGAAAGGUGAAAAGAACCCCGGAAGGGGAGUGAAAUAGAACCUGAAACCCUAUGCUUACAAGCAGUGGGAGCGCAAGUGACCGCGUGCUUUUUGUAGAACGGACCAGCGAGUUAUGGUAUGUAGCAAGGUUAAUAUUUUAAGGAUAGGAGCCGUAGGGAAACCGAGUCUUAAUAGGGCGAUAGUUGCAUACUGUAGACCCGAAACCGUGUGACCUACCCAUGUCCAGGGUGAAGCGUGAGUAAAAUCACGUGGAGGCCCGAACCGGUGUCUGUUGAAAAAGGCUCGGAUGAGGUGUGGGUAGCGGAGAAAUUCCAAUCGAACACGGAGAUAGCUGGUUCUCCCCGAAAUAGCUUUAGGGCUAGCGUUAAGUGAUGAAUAGUGGAGGUAGAGCACUGAAUUGGCUAGGGGGAGUAUAUCCUACCGAACCAUAUCAAACUCCGAAUGCCAUAUAUUUUAGCUUGGCAGUCAGACUGCGUGAGAUAAGUUUCGUAGUCGAAAGGGAAACAGCCCAGAUCAUCAGCUAAGGUCCCAAAGUGCAAGUUAAGUGGGAAAGGAUGUGCAAUUGCUAAGACAACUAGGAUGUUGGCUUAGAAGCAGCCACUCAUUUAAAGAGUGCGUAAUAGCUCACUAGUCGAGUGAUUGUGCGCCGAAGAUAAACGGGGCUCAAACUUGCCACCGAAGCUAUGGCAGUUGAGAAGUGAGAAGUGAGAAGUUGGAAGUGAGAAAAAGUGCACUUAC